GCCUGUAUGGUGUAGCGGUUUGAGUAUUGGAUUACGACUCUGGAAACCAGGGUUCAAUUCCCUGCUCAGUCA